GGGGUUCUAACACGUUCCGCAAGAGCAAGCAUUUCUGUUGCAACUUCUGUAGGUGUAUCAUUAAAAGGUAAAUCCUUGUACCUGAGGGGAUGGAGCUCUGGAACAAGCUCCUGCAGCAUCGAAUCUGUGUUGUAGAGUGGAAGUUUCCCUUCUGCAUGUAGCCGAGGAAGAGCAAGGAAAGCCGGCAUAUACGAUGCACUACAACUGCGCAAAACAAUGCUACGAAGAUUCAAAUUGCUAGCAACUUCUUCAGCAAAAUACAUGAUAUUGUCGUGUAUGACUGUGAUCUUAUUGUUAAGAGCUUCAAGGAACUUUGUGUAGUUGGCGGACGCAUCAAUGGCUGAAAAGUUGUCAGAAAGAGUAAGGAAGACGAAUUCAGGAUGGUUAGAAGGAUCAGGGGAGUUUAAUUUGGUAUGGGCUAAGGUUAUUGAGAAGCCUUUGGAAUGAAGGACACUGCCGAGCUGAAGCAUAGGCGUCAUGUGACCUUGAAAUGGACUUGCUACCAGUACCAAAGAUGAAGACCGAUAGAGGAGGGUGGUCGCUUGAUGACGGUGGUGGGUCAUCACCGCAAACAUGAGGGGGAGGCGUUGCUGGAGAUGAGGCAUUGAUUGAAUGUUUCUGUAGUCGAAGGGGAGAGUCGUUGGAGGAAGAAGAUCUGUAGAUGCAAAUGAAUGGCAGGGGUUAUUUUUAGGUUUUUAAAAUACUGAUUUUAUUUCCUUAAUUAUAGGAUUAAAUUAAAUGACCUCAUUAAUUGUAAAUACAAAAAACUAAAAAUGCCCUUAUUUGAUUUAAUUAAUUAUUUAAUAUUUACUAAUUUGUGAUU